UGAGUCAAUACCACGUGCGCAUGAGAGCAGAUUUUAGUGGAUAAAAGUGGGUCACAGGCCUUCUCCGGUCUUCUAUACCAUUGUGGUGCCACUUUGAACUGUUCUCUGGUGCAAAUUCCCUGAGACCGACCACCACAAUAUCCCCCUUGCCUAGUUGUGGUCUAUUCUGCCUUGGCUGCACACGUUGCCCUGCGACCUUCCAUGGAUUCAAGUCAGCUGUAAGACUAGCUCCGACUCAUCCUUCUAAGGCGUCCCUAUCCUUCUACAUAAGGUUCUGUAAACCGUGGCACAAUACUAUUCUUCUCCGCGUUAAAGGAUAAGAAAUAUAAGAACCCAGAGACACUCUCCAGUCAUAUGACACAACGAUCGUGCCGUAAAAUGCUCUUGACUU
rnacentral:lncRNA from 1 species